CGCGUGAAUUUAAUUAAAAGAAAACAAAACAAAAGAGCAAAGGGCCGUGAAUGACUUCCUCUUUCUCGUGUUUCAUUUCGUUCCACUUCUUUACACUUCUUUCCACGUCUUUCUUCUUUAUCCUUUUUCUGUUUGAAACGAAUGAAAUGAGGUGAAAAAGGAUGAAAGAAGAAAGAGAGGUGGAAGGAGAAGUGAAAGAAGGAACGAAAAGAACACAAUUCACUUCAUUCAUCUUUCAUUUGCUCUU
rnacentral:ribozyme from 1 species